GAGAGGCUUGGUGAGGCCAGCCAUGAGGAGAGGCAGGCUUUGUUGAAAUAGCCAGCUUCCUCAUGUACAGCCCAGUGAGGCAGAUCAACCUGGAACCAAGGCCCACUGCUCCUAGAGGUCAAGGAUUAAGACCCUUCCCUGUUUGGGUUCUUCUCCCAGCAUAGGCCUGGAAGCGAGUGCUCAGAUUGCAAAGCCAGAAAGUGCUGGGCCUACAGGAACUGUAAACAGAGGGACAGAAUGAAUAUUCCUGGGGUACAGAGACUACAUCAAUGCCAGUGUUGAAAAACUUCCAAUAUGUGGGUCUGGAAAAAGUUCCCAGUGCAAAGCAGAGUUUUCCGGGCGGCUACCAUUCCUUCACAACCUGUCUAAGAGGGCAGAGGCUGAAGUCACCAGGCGAAGAUCUGUCUGCCGUGGCUAGUCUUGGGCUGUUCACCACAGGCCUGUCCUGAUGAUUAAUUAGAUUGUUUCAGUGUUUAGAGUAUUGUGAAGAUAUAGCACUACAUUAGAACAUUGCGUUGUAUUGGUUUGGGGAUAAUACUGUCAUGCAAAUAACAUGAAAACAAGCUUUUUAAGGUGAGGGUUCAGGAGCCCUGUGUAACUCUCUCCUC
rnacentral:lncRNA from 1 species